rnacentral:ncRNA from 1 species
UAUACUUAUGUAGAACUACAUAAUUUUAAGUACAAUGUAAAUAUUGACUAUUAAUAUUAAUAUAUCAAUAAUUCUAUGUACUUUGUGCAUUACUGCUAGCCACCAUGAAUAUUAUAUA